CUGUUCUUCAUUGAUCUCUGUCGCUCAAGGGCUUUGCUCUAGUUGUUCUUCAUUGAACUCGAACUCGAUCUCUCUCGCUAUUAGCUCCAACCUUGAGUUUGCAAAUCGCAGAUCCAAAAUUGAUAUCUUUCUUGAACCAGAUCGACUUUUCAUCUUAGGUAAGAUCAGAUCGUUAUCAUUCUUGAACCAGAUCCAUCUCUCUUGCUCUUCAUCCCAGGUUCACAUAUCAAAGAAAGGAAAGAUAAAGAAGAAGAAGCAGAUAUAACAAAAUCAAUGAAAGAAGGCCACUGGAAUCUACUGAACUCAAGAUUAGGACUGUUCCUAAUUUUAGUUUAUUUGUGAAUUUUAAUUUAUUAAUGAAGUUGAAUUUGUUUAGGAUUUUAUUCUUAGUUUAUAUUUGUUUCCUUAUUGGAAUUUAUUAGUUUGGUUUGCCUAUAUAUUGCUUUGGAUGAACUAUCAGAUUUGGGCAUUGAUUGAAUAUUGAAGAACUGAUAUUGCAUUGGGAAUGUGUUCUCAAUUUCU